rnacentral:rRNA from 1 species
GACGAACGCUGGCGGCGUGCUUAACACAUGCAAGUCGAACGGUGAAGCGCCUUCCUUUUUGGUGGGUGUGGAUGAGUGGCGAACGGGUGAGUAACACGUGAGUAACCUGCCCCCUUCUUCUGGAUAACCGCAUGAAAGUGUGGCUAAUACGGGAUAUUCUGGGUCUGUCGCAUGAUGGGUCUGGGAAAGAUAUUGUUUCGGUGGGGGAUGGGCUCGCGGCCUAUCAGCUUGUUGGUGGGGUGAUGGCCUACCAAGGCGGUGACGGGUAGCCGGCCUGAGAGGGUGGACGGUCACACGGGGACUGGGCCACGGCCCAGACUCCUACGGGAGGCAGCAGUGGGGAAUAUUGCACAAUGGGCGCAAGCCUGAUGCAGCGACGCCGCGUGAGGGAUGGAGGCCUUCGGGUUGUGAACCUCUUUCGCCAGUGAAGCAGGCCUGCCUCGUUUGUGGGUGGGUUGACGGUAGCUGGAUAAGAAGCGCCGGCUAACUACGUG